rnacentral:rRNA from 1 species
AUUGAACGCUGGCGGCGUGCUUAACACAUGCAAGUCGAACGAGUGGCGAACGGGUGAGUAACGCAUCGGAACGUACCCAGUGAUGGGGGAUAACUGUUCGAACGGGAAGCUAAUACCGCAUAUUAUUCGAGUGGCCGAUAUCUGAUUAGCUGGUUGGCGGGGUAAAGGCGAACCAAGGCGACGCUCACUAGCGGGUCUGGGGGGAUGAUCGGCAAAACUGGAACGGAGCCACGGCCAGAACUCCUACGGAAGGCAGCAGUGGGGAAUUUGGGACAAUGGGCGCAAGCCGGAUGCAGACAGGCCGCGGGGCUGAAGAAGGCCUUCGGUUUGUAAAGGACUUUCUUCAGGGAAGCGGUACCUGAAGAAUAAGCACCGGCUAACUACGUGCCAGCCGCCGCGGUAAUAC